GAAAUAUACCAUCAUAUCAUUUAAAAUGCAUGUUUUGAUUUAACGACAAACAAAAUUAAUUGAUUAAAAAAUUAACAGAUAAUUUUGUUAUUAUAUUUUUAGUUAAAAAGUUUGUCUGAAUUAUGUUAAAGAGUUUCACACUAAAAACCCUAAUGUUUACUUCAUAUAUAUUUUAAUUCACUAUUAUUAACACGAUGCAUGUACCUAAAUUUAGUUAUUAGUUACAAAAUUCAUCAAAGGUUUGAGUAUAAAGAUUUAUAGCCCAUGCAAACAUUGUGUAACUUUUUAAUGAUAUAUUAGAAAUUUAAAAUACUGUUACAAUUUGUGUUAAUGUAGAUAAGAAGUAUGAAAAAGCAACAAUGAUUUCAUAGAAAGGCAUAUACAAUACAACUUAGUUAAUAAACAUAAUCAAGGCAAUUGUAUUAACACAAUGGCAGGAAAAAAGCUUUUUAACGUUAUACUGAAAUAAUUUAGAGUCACAUAAUUCAUGUUAGCGAUAAUCAAAAAGUACAAUAUUCCCCCAUAUUUCAGCCGAUUUUAGUGUGCUUUGGUGGCACUAAAGAAUCUUAAUGUGCGACAAUGCGACACAUAUACAAAGCCUGACUAAUCAUGUCGAAUCUGUGUAAUUACAAGAUUAACCAAAUACUGAGGACAUAUUAGUCAUUCGACUAUAUGAUAACUAUAAUGUAUCCAUUGAACUAGAUAUUUUGGUUGUGUUAAAAUAUAGGCUGAACUACGGCAAUGGAGAAGAAGCUGUAAUUAACGUCGAAACCGUGGGCAAUAAAAAUAUAUUGAUAUACAAAAAAUAGUAAGAUAUAUCGCUUUCUUCGUUAGUUGAUGACAAAUUACAAUUAACACAUCAAAGUCCAAUAAUCGAUAUAUCUUGCUGUAAUAAUAAUAAGUAGUUAUUAACGAUAAAGUAUAUAAGAAAAAUGAAGAAAAGUUUGAGGAAUUUUCUAAUUUCAAGUUGUAACAAAAUUAGGUUAGUUUAUUAAUUUUUCUGUGGCCUCCUUUGUUCCAAUGAAAAUUCGACACGUAUGAUUCCUAGUGGAAGAAAUAUUCACACGUGGCAAUCGAGACAUGGGACCCAUAUUAUCGCCACAGAAGGUAACAAAUUUAUGACGUGGAAAUAGAUGGCCGGGUGGGUGUGGAAAAAAAAGCUUUACGUUUCAGAUGUCAUAUGUCACGCUUUUGAUAUUGAGAUAAUCGCUCCACCAGAAAAAAAUUAAUAAAAAUUAAAUUUUAGGAAACAAACAAAUCGACCCAUUUCAUGUGAGUUUUAGGUCGAUUACUUUAUUGUUACUUUAUUCUAACAAUAUUUCUUGAUUUUCCAACGUCACAUAAAAUAAUUAUGACUGCAUAGUUUAUAGAUAACCAUGCAUAUUUCUCGACCACUAAAAGUCUAAAAUUUUUUUUGUUUGUCAACAGUCUAAAAUACUUAUGGUGUGCACAUAUUUAUUACUUUUCAUACUUAUUUUGAUUUAUCAUUUUUCUAGGAAGGGUUUUCGUAUGACUUUUCAGUUUUGAUAUCGGACCUUCAGAUUCUUACAAGUUCAAAAUAUUAGAUAGUUUUGUUUGGUAAAUACUAAUAGCAAUAUUAUUUUAUUUAACAUCUUUUUUUUGCUAUGAACUUAAUCAUAUACAAUCUCAGCAAGUGAUUACAAAAGAGAAGGGAACACUAAUCAACCAGAAACAAUCAGAUCAUUCACUUCGAGUUUAGAGGUUAAGAAAUAGCACUUAUAUCCGCUUGCCCCUCGGUUUCCACGUCCUCGGUUCCUCAAAAUUGAUUUACUUCCUCUGUUUUUUAUUUCUUUGAAAAUUUACUUCCUUUGUUUUUGUUAAUCUAGUUUACAUUUUAUUUAUGUUCUAAUUUACAUAUAUCAAGUGAAGAUUUAGAUUUAAAUUUUUAAUUUACAAAUGAGCCAAUGAGGCCACCUUUAAUAUCACAAGUAUUACAUUACCUUUUUUUCUAAAUCAAAAAUUUAAAACUUAAAGAGUCCCAAAGUAAAGUACAAAUGUCAUGAGUUUUCAAAAUCCUCAAAAAUAAAUUAUUUUAUAUAUUUUCUAGAAAAAUUGUUAAAUAAUUUUCUAAACAAAAUAAAAUAUUAAUAUUUUUUUGAAAAAGUUAAAAUAUAUAGUUAUAUUCAAAAAAUCUGUUAUAUUUUUUAAAAAAAUAAUUGAUAACAUUAAAUGGUGGUAUUGGUUCUUUUGAUACAAAUUAAUUUAUAAUUUGUCCCUCAUACAUUUUAAUUUCUGUAUUAUAUAUGAAGUGUUUUACAACAAACUAUCAAUGAACUGAAAUUGUUUCUUUUUUCAUAAUCAAACAAAGACAAUCAUAUAUCCCCACUUUUGUCUUUUGGAGCACUUAGAUUUAAAAUGAAAAAAAUAAAGAACGAAAAAUGCUCAUUAAAAAAAACGAGAAAUGUGGCCCAUAUUUUACACACGGUACCAACUCAAAUAAAUGCUUGCCUCUAAUUAGUUAAUCUAAUUACAUUAUUUCUUAGUCAAGAUCAUUAUUCAAUACUCGAGAGACAUCCUAUUUGCAUUCACAGAGAUUUCUAGUGCUUUACAUGGGUGCACACCAUCUCCUUUUUCUUUCUAACUUUCAGAAUCUCAACACAACCCACACACAUCCCGCCCGAUCUAUUUACUAUCGAACCCAUAGUCAUAAGAAAACUGUAAUAUGUUGUCUGUUACCUUUAACAAAUACGCGAAACUAUUUCCAAGUGUUAUCAACAUAUAAAAAUUUGGAAUGAUAAAUAAGCCAGAUUUAUAACGAUUUUAUCGUCCAAGCACAAUACUCAAAACUAUAUAUGAUAGGCAUAGACUGAAACAUGGAUAGGGCGAAAACACAUGUUCAAACCCCUUAAUAAGCGAGAUGCUAGGAUGAUUCGAACAAACGAGAUUAUUUCAAGAACAUAUGUAGGUUGGUAAAUUUCACCCUUCUAUAAGGUAUAUAAUAUGGGUAAACCUAACUUAAAAUUUUAUACUAUAUCUUAUGCUUUCCCCAUUAAGAAAAACUAUACGUAGAAAAACGACCUACUUUCAAAUGAUCCAAUGUGUAAGCUUUUGUAAAAAUAGCUUUCAGUUCACCAUGUGAUACAAUACUUUUAUGCCAGUUACAAAAAUAUCUAAACCAACUUAAAUUCCAUAUUUACACGGUCUUAUGUUACGUGACAAGCACAAACAUCGGACAAUUAUCAAACAUUUUGAUACUAUUUUACCUAGCUUAAAAACAUAUUAUGUCAUAUGAUUGUAAGCAUUAUCUGGAACUCUGCCGAUGGUUUCACUUCCCUAAACAUAGAAAAAACUAUUUGUAGUUUUGUAUUGUAUUUACUGUCCUCUAUUUGUUUCACAGUCAUUCAAACUAUAAGGUUCUAGUAUGUGAUGAUGUCUUGUAUUGUAAUUACAUAGAUCUAUAUGAUGCCAUCCAAAGUUCCUUACGGAGCCAGCCAAGACGAUAUCUAGACUCUCAAUCGUUCACAACACCUUUUGAGUUAUAUUUUUAGUUACGAAUUAGGUUUCUAGCUAGUCGAUGGUCACGUAGUAUAUAUCUUAGAGACAUGCAUGGUCCUUAGAACUUAACUAGAACUAGAUUUUAACCCGUAAACCCGCAUGGAUGUUUAAUUUAAUAUUUAUCUAAUUUAAUUUUUUUAAUAGGAUUGAAUAUAUAUAUAUAUAUUUAUAUAUACUUAUUUAUUUAUUUAUUUAAAAAAAUUGCCACUAUUAAAUAUUUGUUUAAUGUAUUUUGAACACAAAAAAUUUGUAGCGAAUUCAGUAGACAAUCUAAUUAAUUAAUUAGAUUCUAUAGCAUUUUAAAUUUUAAGAAUAUGAUAAAGAUAUACAAUGUAUAAUAUAGUAAAGUGUGAUUUUGAAGUAUAUAUAUAUUAUUGUUAUUAAUGUGAUAGCUUAAUUUAGGGGUUUGUUAUGUUAAGUUAGUCAGAUAUUCAAUUAUUUUAGGAAUACAUAGUUGAUUUCUUAUCUAUAGGAAAUUAUUAAUUCUUGUUUUAAUUCUAUGUCCAACUAAAUCCAUAGGAAAUAUAUCAAAUCGUUGAUUUUUUUGUUUGAAAAGAAAUUGAAUAAAUUUACAAUUAAUACAAACUUAAACCAAAUGUUUUUUAAAUUGUAUCUAAUUCAUGUUACAUAUAUAAUCUGGUUUAGUGAUGUUCUCAUCAAUUACAUUUACUAAAGUUUUUUUCUAAUGAAUUUUAAUGUUAAUUCAAUUAGAUGUUGACACUUGAUUUAAAACUUUUGGUUUACUAAUAUAGACAAAUGAUUUUAUGCAGAGACUAGGAUUGUGGCGCAAUGAAGAUGAAAUCUAUUUUAUGGUCUUAAAAAAUACAAAUUAUAUUAGUGGGUAACCAAACAUUAAUGGGCUUGUUAUUUAUUUCCUAUUGUAAUAUGGCGUGAAAGUUUACUGACUAUCUUCAGUGGUUCAUUCUAUUUUUCACUCUAAAAUAUAAUAACUUUGUAAUAGUGUUGUAAUAUACUUUAAUGGUACUCUAUUUUAAAAUGAAAAAUAGAGCGAUGAAAUUUUUUUUUUACUCUAUAUAUAGAGUAAAUCUAUUUUUUACUCUAUUAUAGAUGGAAAAAUAGAGUACUAUUAGGGCAUUUUUACUAUAAACUCUAUUUUAGAAUGGAAAAUAGAGUUGGGUUAGAGAUGUUUUAAUAAUUAGAAAAAGUGUAGAAAAUUAUCAGUGACAUUUGACUGUGAAUAUUUAGAGAAAAUAAGGGGUCAAUUCAAAUUUGUACUUAUGUUUUAAUAGUUUAGAUGAUUUAAAUGUUUUUAUUUUCAACUUGUUGUUUAAUUUGGAUCCUAUUUCAAAAAUCGGAAGGAUAUAUAUAUGUCUCUAUAUAUAUACUCUCGAUCUUUUUUUUUUACAGCAAAUAUUUACAUAUUCAUAUUGACUCUGUAAACCAAGGUGGUAACUCUGCAUCCAUUCACAUACUCUCGAUCUUAUUUGGAUCUUUGCUGGAUGUUCUAAUUUAUGAGGACAAUUAGUCUGGUAAAUGAGAAUCUUCAAAGAUAUAUAUAACGAGGCAUAUAUCAUAUAUAAUUUUCCGGUAUAUUAUAUAUAUAUAUAUAUAUAGUUUUCCGGUAUAUUAUUUUCAACGUGUUGUGUUCACCAAAGUGAUUAAGCUGUGCCAAAAGUAUGUUCUAAAAGCGGGCCGGGUUAGGGUUCCUAAUUCAGCUUCUCUAGAAAAUAUGAUAUUCUCUUUACUUGUUUUCUUCUUUAUUUCAAAGUUUUAAACGUUUAUUUUUAUUCGUUUGUAAGUUCACAAUAAUAAAUUAUAACGUGUAGAAAAAAAAAGAAUAUACUAGACUAAAGUUGGAGAUUAAAUGAAGAAUUUACUAAAAACUGGGAUAAAUUUAUGUAAUCAACUUCCAAUGGAGAAGGCUAAAGUUCUUCAUCACCCACACAACACAUGACCACUCUGUACUUUCCAUUGAAGUAACGAUCAUUGAUCAGUCUCUGAUUAGUUUUAGUUUAAAAAACAAAUUGAAUCAUUAAAGAGUAUUUGUACUCCCUACACACAGCUUUCCCCUUAUUUGCACUUCCUAUCUUAUUUCCCUUCAAUUUUUUUCCCUCAUCACUACCAUUUUUCCCCAAUUCAAUGGUAUCCCAUUCUUUUCAGUAUAUUGAGCUAAUUUGCUCAUCAUUAAAUAAACCAAUAUGAAUUAAACGCAAGACAAAAGAGAUAUAGUGUAAACGCAAAAAAAAAAGAAGGAGAUAUAGUGUAAACCCAAUGUGUUAUUAGAUAGAAGUGAUUCCCGGCGUCCCCUUUAAAGGUUUCACCCAAAAUCCCAACACGGUUCUGUCUUAUCGUCCUUUUUUUGUUAAAUGUUUUAUCGUCUCAUGCAUACAUAUAACAAAUGUUAUCAAUACUUUUUUUUGACCAAAUAAUUAUAUGUAUUCUGUUACUUUUUAAAUUACUAACCGCCCGUAAAGCGGGCUAUCCCUAGUAUAUAUAUAUAUCACAGUUUUAAAACGCCGGCUAGGCGCUUUUCUAAAUGCUACUCGGACAUCAUCCGUCAUGAUUUUUUUCGAAUCGGAUAAUAAAAUCGGCAUCCAGUUAAUCGGCGCAAAAACCAACUAAUCGGCCCAAUAAACCCAUUAGUCUGCCCAAAUUUUAAAUUAUAAAGAUUUUUUAGGUUUUACAGGAAAGCCCAAUACCUUAAUGUUAUCAAUACUUACAUCAUUUUCUCCUAAUAAACAUAUGCAUCUAGUUCUUAUAAUCAAUAUAUAAAGUACAUUUUCCAGCAUAUAUCCAAAGUAUUUAUUAAGAUAUUUUUAUUAAAAAGACAAAUACAGUUCUUCACUAUUUCUUAUAGUUUAAAUCAUCAUUUUUACAAUUUUAUGCUGUAUCAUCAAUACCAAUUUACAAAUCACUUAAUUUUGAACAAACAUAAUUAUGGUUUAUGUUCUGUCAACAAUAUAUAUAUAUAUAUCAUUGUAUUUCAUCUAUGAUAUAUUUUCUCAGAGAGGACACACGGAUUAAACGUAUAACUGAUGUAAAUCAAUACAAUACUAAAAGUUGAAUAAGAUAAACAUCUAAACUGUCCACAUAUGACUAAAAAAUCAACCAAUAGAAAAGAGUUAUUUUACCAUGUCAUAUGAGCUUUGUUCGAAAAUGAUAAUUAUCGAGACUUUCGUGUGGGCUUAUGAUAUUUGGCCCAGUCAAACCCACUUCUGGAAAUGGCUCACAAACUUUCUCUUCUCAGUUUCGGAUCCUUGGAAAUCUCCGUUACACGCAACACCUUUAUCAAUCAAUUAUCUUUUACUCUUUUCUUUAUGGUCUCAUUUCACCUCCCUAUUAUCUUCUCCUAUAAAAAUCGUUUCUUCCAAACUUUAAUUCAACCAAAAUUGAAAGCUACGGCCAUGAGAAAUAAAUAAUUCAGAGUCUCUUGCUCUUCCUCUACUCUUCGUACCCGGUAAUCAAACCCCACAGUAUUCAUAGCUAUAGGAACGGCGAAAUCCACCGCCACAGCCCCGACUUAAUUUUAUAAGGAUGUGAUCGUUUACCACCAAGUUUGCUUGCUUACAUGGUUGCAGCUUCAUAACUCGUGCCAUGUUUGUCAUACGAGUUCAUGACUCAUGGAGGUCAGACCAGUGGGGAAGACAGACAACAAACGGUUGAGAGUUCGCCGACUCCGAGGAGGUUUAGUUUAUCAUAUCCAUGGCCACUCAAGAGACAUGAUACAAAUUAGGAUUCUGGGAGUGGAUCUGAUAUCGAUACUACGUAGGAUGAAUUGGAUUGAGAAAUUCAUGGAAUACAAUGAAAUUCUCAAAACAUUUGAAGAUCAAGAGAAGUUAAAAGAGGUUUGACCUUCAAAUGCUAGCAAGAAGGCGGAUCAAUGGGUAGCUUUUCGAAUAUACUCUGUAGACAUUCCUUUUACCUGUUCUCCUCUCCAAUAUUUGUGUUGCCACUUGCCAGUGGCCCAGUGUUAACAAUGGUGGCUUCCCUAAACCCACGUCUGUUAUUCUCCUCAACUAACAAAAUGUGUUUCAUGUAGCAUAUGAAGCACUGAAUUUUUCUCAGGGUUAUGGAAAUGGGGAAGAAGCUUGCAGGGAGGAUAAGGAGCAAAGGGCCUUACAUUGUCCUGAGUGUAUCUAAUUUUGGCUUUGAAAAUUCAUUUUCUACACCGAAGAAAAGAAGAAGCCAGUGACUGUUUUAACGUUUUGUUAUCUUCUAAGCUCUGUAAAUGUUUAUAAAACUGGUGUUUUGAUGAUUAUGUGCCUCACAUUGUUUUUGUUUUUAUGGAUAGGGUGAAUCACAGCUCACUGAAUAAAAAAAAUACCCAACUCCGUAUUUUCGAAUGGUCUUACAUAACUGUCUCCAGUGGGAUCAGUGGCCUUAUGCUACUGUCGAUAUACUACAGAUUCCACCAACGCCAUAUCUACAAAGCCAAAAAGGAGGAAGAUGAACAUGACAACUUGAAGCCAGCCUCUAUCGCUGGGGGUGGAAACUGCAGCAAAUCAUAGUAGACACUACAAGGUUGAAGCAAAAGAAGUUUUCUUUUCUGUUACAAAGCUUUCCCAAUCUAAAGACACUGGUUUGGGAGAGAACGGUUUACUUGAUCAUAAAGGAACUUUCUCCAUCAGCUGAUAAGGUUCAUAGUUUGUAAUUUGCUUAGGUGGCUGAAUCCUAAUACCAAUACUGAAGUAGGGAUGUUUAAAUGAAGAUAGAAUCUAACAAGUCAGUGUCGGAGGUUAAUAAUGAAAUUGAGAGUGAGGAUGGUAGUGAAUAGGUUUGUAGUUGAUCAUUUUAAAUUACGUUUCAUUGUGUAUAAUCAAAUUCAUGAUGAGAACGGUGACCAAGGUUGAAAUUUGUAGCAUAAGUACAGAUGGUUGAUCUCUUUGUCUUCUUUAUGUUUUCGUAAAAUUGUUAUGGGAAUGAUUAAAAGAGAGUGUUUUUCUUUAUUAUUCUCUUUGUUUUAAAACUUCACAAAAUGUUUUAUUCCCUACAUAAUUUAGAUUCUUAUUUUAUAAAUUUGUGAUCUCAUAUUUCUAUUUUGACAUGUGAUCAAUUCAAAUAAAAUUGUAGACGAAAAUUGAUAAAUUAAAUUGAUUUAUUUGGCCAAGAUAAUGUCAUUGUUUCAAACUCAUGCCCAAUUCUAAAUUUACACAUUUCUAACAAAUUAUAUAUAAUAUCCUUUUCUAUAUAAAUUAUCAAAAAAAAGCAAAAAAUUAGUGAUAAAGCAGUAUAAGGAAUUGUAUUAAUCUUUGAUGAUGCAAUUAAAUAAAACAUAAAAUAUUCAGAAAUUUACCAAGUAUAGCUAUAAAAUAGUAAUAAUUAAUAAAUAAAAUAAAUAAAAACUAAUUUCAAUUUGCAACGAAGUAAGAAAAAAAUAAAAAAAUAAGGAUUAUAAAAUGAAAAAAUAAAGAGGAAAUAAACACACAAAUUUAUUACUUCAAUGUAUACGUGAAUAAGUUUGAACCAAGAUGAGUCUACUUUUUUGCUACCAAAAUUGUUUUCAAGCAAAUAGUAAACAAUAAAUCUAUCAAAUUAAAAAAAUAAAUUAUUAAUUAUAUUUUUAAUUUAUAUAAAAUUUAAAACUAAACAUAAUAUACGUAUAUAUAUAUAAUUAAGAACAUAUAUUAAGGAUUUUUGAUGUAUAUAUCAUGCAUUCCCAUUAUAGUAUUUUUUUUACAAAUGGUAAUACAUUCUAACAUCAUCUUCACAUAACAUUCAAAUCACCCAAGAAACCACAAUAAUUCUAUUAAGAAAAUAUACCCAAAAUACAUUCAUACAUCUUAUGGUGAAACUUGCAAUCAACUGUUAUGUCUAGCCACUUACAAACACAUUCCUAUUAGAUUGUUUUAUAAAUAAAUUUUGUGUUUACUUAUUUAAAUUUAAAAAUAGAAAAUGUUUUUGAUUUUAAAGGUCCAUCCUAAUAUUAUUGAGAAAAUACACAUAACAAAAAAACAUUUAACACAAAAAAAAACUAAUUACAAAAACAUAUUUCGUUAUAGGUUUGCUUUUCUAGAAGUACAAAAAAAAUAUAUAAAUAGAAAGAAAAAUUACAAAAAAUGUUUUAAUCUUGAAAUAUCUCACAUCGAACUUUUAUACAUUUCUUAAUAUGAAAUGGCCAAAUAAUAAAUUUUGACAAUUUCAAAGCAUAUAAUAGGAAAUAUAAAUUAACUUGAUAACAAUCACUAAUCCAAAUUAAACAUAUAUAAAGCUGAAUGGAAAAUAAAUUUCAUUAUCAUGUUUGAUUUUUUAAAACAUUACAGAAAUUAUUAUUCACCUCAACAUUUAAAAUAAAAUAUUAUUCUUACUUUACUUAAGAUAGUCACAUUAAUCCACUCAGAAGCUAAUAAAAACAUAUAUUACAUAGAAGACUAAUGUCACGUUCAAAAAGCAACAACAUGUACCUUAAAAAAA